UUAUAUUAUAUAUAUAUUUUAGGAUAAUAUAUUCCUGUUAUAUGAAUUUUUUUUUAUUUCUAUCAUAAUAUCCAAAAAAUGGACAGUGUGAAUGCUUCUAGGCUAUGAGUUUUGUCGGUAUGUCUCCAAAUUACAAAUACAUCAUCUAUGUAUCUGAGAUAGACUUUGUAUUCAAGUUCAAAUUCUGGUAGAAUUCUAUCCUCCACAGUACUAAUCAGAAUCUCUGCUAAUAUAACCAUCAUUGGGCUGCUAAUCAAGACCCACAGAUCUGUUUGUAAAACUUUUCUUUUUAUGUAAAAUACAAUUGCUGGCACAUCAUAUGUGCCAAAUUCCUAAGAGUAUUCACUUUUUCAUUUGCUCCUGGGACAUGUCGUAGAAGAAAUCUAUAAAAUAUUAAACACAGAGAAAUUUUCAUGAAGGAAAAAGACAUUGGAAAUCUAAUGUUCCUAAUACUUCUUUUUGAUCUGGUACUUCCUGUAAUAGUCUGCAAAAAAAAAAAAACUGUUGAAGUUAGACUUAUUAUAGCUUUGGAACUAAUGAAUAAUACAUCAGUCAACUGGGGCUUUCUCAGUUUCAUAAAGCAGCAAAUGCCUUUUCUCAAAUGUUAUAAAGGUAA
rnacentral:lncRNA from 1 species